GUAGUUAGCGUGCACAAAAGAGCCAGAAGAUACCUCGUGUCUCGCUGCGAACUCGCCGUAUGCGUGGCGCGCCAGGCAAAUGUGGACCAACGAUUUUUAUGUCGUGGCCUUUGUCUGGUUGUCGUGGAAAGUUGGGUGGACGUCGAAAAAAAAUAAUGCGUAUUGUUAGCGUGCCUCAGCUCGUCCACUACGCAGCGACAUCUAUGAUGGGAGUAAUGUCGUCGACGCAGCACCGGCAACUUGGAGAGCGUCGUACCAUUGAAAAGUGGUGAGAGCGUGACCCUAUAGCAGUGUCAACAUAAUGGCAGGGAAAUGCAGGGAUCCCGCAGCCAUGGCUACAGCAGCACAGGGUGUAAUCUGGAUGUCAUGUCAGCACCCGGAUGCGUCACAUCAUAUGCCUACGGUGAAAUACGAGGGAACUAGCCUGCUGCAAGCAAGAGCCCUCCAUGUACAGCUCGAAUCGAUCAAGAUUGACGAAG